UGAGGGAAUAUUGGGUCAAUGGUCGGAAGACUGAACCAGCCAUGCCGCGUGAAGGUCAGUGCCCUAUGGGCGUUAAACUUCUUUUGUGUGAGAGCAAUAAGGACCUCGUGAGGUCCGAUGAGAGUAUCACACGAAUAAGCAUCGGCUAACUCCGUGCCAGCAGCCGCGGUAAUACGGGGGAUGCGAGCGUUAUCCGGAUUUAUUGGGUUUAAAGGGUGCGUAGGCGGCCUGUUAAGCCAGCGGUGAAAUAUCCUCGCUCAACGAGGAGACUGCCGUUGAUACUGGUGGGCUUGAAUGCGGAUGCCGUUGGAGGAAUGUGUGGUGUAGCGGUGAAAUGCAUAGAUAUCACACAGAACACCGAUUGCGAAGGCAUCUGACGAAUCCGCGAUUGACGCUGAUGCACGAAAGCGUGG
rnacentral:rRNA from 1 species